rnacentral:tRNA from 1 species
GUUUUUUGUAAUAUAAAUUAUUAUAUUUACCUUCCAAGUAAACUAUCUCAAAUGAGCUUAAAAGUA